rnacentral:antisense_RNA from 16 species
AUCUAUGGUGGGCUGGAUGGGGGAGCCGAGAGGCUCGCCGUUUACUUGUAUCCGGUUGUUAGAACCCUGUUCGGCUCACCACCAA